rfam:Otolemur garnettii contig171322, whole genome shotgun sequence.
GCUCAGUGACGAAGCAGAACCCCGAAACUGAUUACCUGAAGAAAAGCACAGACGAAUUCGGCUUCUAAGAG